rnacentral:tRNA from 1 species
GGGCGAUUAGCUCAGCGGGAGAGCACUUCGUUCACACCGAAGGGGUCACUGGUUCG